rnacentral:sRNA from 1 species
UGAAAAGGAUCCAGAUAAGGUAUAGUCUCUAAGGUGUUCUCACUUUCAGUCUUCUACCGACAUGCCGCAUACGACCUGAGCUCAUACUUAAAUAUAUAUGAAUUAACCUUCUUGUGGCAGGUCCUUCAAGCUAUGGUUCAAAUGGGAGUGCUUGUACCAACUGGAGAUUUGACGGCAGUUAGAAGAACAGCAUUGU